rnacentral:rRNA from 1 species
UACGUAGGGUGCAAGCGUUGCCCGGAUUUAUUGGGCGUAAAGAGCGUGUAGGCGGCCGUACAGGUCAGCUGUGAAAACUCGAGGCUCAACCUCGAGACGUCGGUUGAAACCGUACGGCUAGAGUCCGGAAGAGGAGAGUGGAAUUCCCGGUGUAGCGGUGAAAUGCGCAGAUAUCGGGAAGAACACCCGUGGCGAAGGCGGCUCUCUGGGACGGUACUGACGCUGAGACGCGAAAGCGUGGGGAGCGAACAGG